rnacentral:rRNA from 1 species
UACAGAGGGUGCAAGCGUUAAUCGGAAUUACUGGGCGUAAAGCGUGCGUAGACGGUUACAUAAGUCGGGUGUGAAAGCCCCGGGCUCAACCUGGGGAAUUGCAUUCGAGACUGCGUAGCUAGGGUGCGGAAGAGGGAAGCGGAAUUUCCGGUGUAGCGGUGAAAUGCGUAGAUAUCGGAAGGAACACCAGUGGCGAAAGCGGCUUCCUGGUCCAGCACCGACGUCAGGCACGAAAGCGUGGGGAGCAAACAGG